CUACAUACCCCACUUCACAAAUGGAUAAGAUCUAUGUUAGACGUCCCCUGCACUUAGUGGCCCGUCAAAUUUACUGGCUAAAUGUAAUGACAAUUUUUAAAGCUGUAAAGUAAUUUCUAAUUCAACGUUCCCCUGUCUUUGUGCACUGUUUCUAUGACCAGGUGUCAUAAAGAGUUGCUCAGGAAAGAAUACAAGUUCAGAAGAUGUAAAAAGAAUGUGUUUACUAGAUUCUUCCACCUGAAUAGCUUAGCAUCAAGAAGUCUUUUCCUAGGUCUCAUUCACUGGGUAAGAAGAAAUUGUUUCCCUUAUAAUUUAAUAUGGCUGCGUUAAAAAUUGAAACAAUUAGAUGUAAAAGGAAAUAUUCUAACAGUUUAGUGGCUGCACCAGUUUGCAUUCCCACCCAGAUUGUGUCUUCUACACACAAGUGCUGUAAGAGAAGUUUGUCCUAGGAGAUAUGGAGGAAUAAAAGAAGGUUGAGAGUUUUUUCCAUGUGGAAUGGAAAAUGGUAACGGGAUACAAGGCUGGGAAAGUGCAUUGGAGAAAAGGAAGUGAUAAAGCACCGUGAGCACAAGGAAGAAGGAAUGGUUAAUUUUGACUGUGGAUGAAGAGAGAGGCUUCACGGGAGAGGCAGCAUUUAGGUGAGUCUUGAAGAAUGAUAAGAUUUUGAUGGCGUGAAAGAGAGAACAGG
rnacentral:lncRNA from 1 species